CCUACGGGACGCAGCAGUGGGGAAUAUUGCACAAUGGGGGGAACCCUGAUGCAGCGACGCCGCGUGAGUGAAGAAGUAUUUCGGUACGUAAAGCUCUAUCAGCAGGGAAGAAAAAAGGACGGUACCUGAGUAAGAAGCCCCGGCUAACUACGUGCCAGCAGCCGCGGUAAUACGUAGGGGGCAAGCGUUAUCCGGAAUUACUGGGUGUAAAGGGAGCGUAGACGGUUAAGUAAGUCUGGAGUGAAAGGCCGGGGCCCAACCCCGGGACUGCUCUGGAAACUAUUCAACUUGAGUGCAGGAGAGGG
rnacentral:rRNA from 1 species